UACGGAGGGGGCUAGCGUUGUUCGGAAUUACUGGGCGUAAAGCGCACGUAGGCGGCUUUGCAAGUCAGAGGUGAAAGCCCGGGGCUCAACCCCGGAAUUGCCUUUGAGACUGCAUCGCUAGAAUUGUGGAGAGGUAAGUGGAAUUCCGAGUGUAGAGGUGAAAUUCGUAGAUAUUCGGAAGAAACACCAGUGGCGAAGGCGACUUACUGGACACAUAUUGACGCUGAGGUGCGAAAGCGUGGGGAGCAAACAGGG
rnacentral:rRNA from 1 species